rnacentral:lncRNA from 1 species
UUAACUCAGCAUGUGCACAAGGCCAAGAAUCGAACCCACGCGUCCAUGGAUACAUGAGAAAUCAAAAAUAAAUCAGCAAAUGAACAUAAGCAUGGAAUCGAACACACGCUAGUUAGGUCCAAAAUGAGAGUUCAAAUAAAAUUCACAAAACACACAGGCCAGGUAUCGAACCCAUGCAAGCGAGGUUCCAAGCAUUCCAAUGCUAAAACGCAGCGUUUUGUCACGAAAACC